AGUAGGGGAGACAAUCCCACCAA
rnacentral:snRNA from 1 species